rnacentral:rRNA from 1 species
AGUGAACGCUGGCGGUAGGCCUAACACAUGCAAGUCGAACGGCAGCACAGUAAGAGCUUGCUCUUACGGGUGGCGAGUGGCGGACGGGUGAGGAGUACAUCGGAAUCUACUUUUUCGUGGGGGAUAACGUAGGGAAACUUACGCUAAUACCGCAUACGACCUACGGGUGAAAGCAGGGGAUCUUCGGACCUUGCGCGAUUGAAUGAGCGGAUGUCGGAUUAGCUAGUUGGCGGGGUAAUGGCCCACCAAGGCGACGAUCCGUAGCUGGUCUGAGAGAAUGAUCGCCCACACGGGAACGUGAACACGGUCCAUGCCCCUACGGUAGGCAGCAGUGGGGAAUAUUGGACAAUAGGCGCAAGCCUGAUCCAGCCAUACCGCGUGGGUGAAGAAGGCCUUCGGGUUGUAAAGCCCUUUUUUUGGGAAAGAAAAGCAGCAGGUUAAGACCCCGCUGUUCUGACGGUACCCAAAGAAGAAGCACCGGCUAACUUCGUG